rnacentral:lncRNA from 1 species
AACUUUUUUUAAGUUGUAAGUGCAGUUUUUUUAUUUUGGUAGUUGUUGCGGCUGGGUUUGUUUGUUUUGGUUUUGGCAGACGCAUUCUUAUAGAACAGUAGAGCCCUGCUCUAGAUUUCUUAGAAAGUACUUCUGUCUCUCUCCUCAUUCAGCCCCAGGACUAUCACACUCCCCAACAAGGAGGGGAGCAUCACAAGGAAGGGAGUUGAUAUGGUGAGGCUGGCCCUGACCAGGAAGGAGCAGCUGCUGGGAAGCUGGAUGCUAAGACCCUCCCAGCCUACCAGGAUGCUAUGGGCAGAAUGUUUGUGUCCCCAGGAAGAGAGCCCCCACCAGAACCCCACCAUGCUGGCACCUUGAUCUCAGACUUCCAGUCUCCAAAACUGGGAGAGAUAAAUUUCUGUGGUUUAAACCACCCCAUCUGUGGCAUAUUAAUAUGAACAUCCUUAUAUGUUUCUCCCUACAGACCAGCGUGAAAACUCUUUGGGAUAUGCAUCUAGUUAUGAAAUAGCGGGGUCACAGUUUAUGCAGGUAUUUAAUUUACCUGAGUAGUACCAGAUUACUCAUGAAAAUGGCUACAUGUCAGUACUAGACUCUUACCC